rnacentral:tRNA from 1 species
CUCAGGAUGGCCGAGCGGUCUAAGACGCGAGACUCAAGUUUCCAAACUUGCUGUGCUAAUACUCAGCCAAAGGGCGUUCUGGACCACUAAUGUGGGCGUGGUUUCGAAUCCCACUCCUGACA